CUCAAGAAAACUUUCUUUUGUUGCACAUAUCAAGCGCCCUUCACAAGGGCCAGUGGGUAGGAGUUUUAUGGGGAUCAGGACUCUUAAGUUUAAAUCAAAUUCAAACUUCUUUUAAUCUUUUCCUUAACCAUCCAACCCUAUCCAUUAUAGGUGACAACUAAAGGCUUUGGCAUGGAAUAUUUAGUGCACAAACUAAUUUGUGCGAUGAAAAAAUGCAUG
rnacentral:lncRNA from 1 species